AAAUCCAGAUUGUCCAUUGAUCGACUGUCCUAGGGUAUCGACGGUCGGGUGCUUCCUUACUGAGGAGAGAUGCCAGUGCUUCUGUGUGGAGCGGGAGGAUCCAUGCGAAUAUGUUGUUCGUAACUACGAGAGAACAUGUCGUGCUAACCAGUUUAUGCAUUGUAUCUCGGACAAUGAUGCAUGCAAAUGUCACUGCGUUCGUAAGUAAUUCUAAGUAUGCUACUGGUGUGUUCGGCCAAAGGAUUGA
rnacentral:lncRNA from 1 species